rnacentral:rRNA from 1 species
CAGCCGCCGCGGUAAUACCGGCGGCCCGAGUGGCGGCCACUCUUAUUGGGCUUAAAGCGUCCGUAGCCGGGUUGGUUAGUCUCCCGGGAAAUCUGGCCGCUUAACGGUCAGAAUUCCGGGAGAUACUGCCAGCCUAGGGACCGGGAGAGGCCGAGGGGAUUCCCGGAGUAGGGGUGAAAUCCUAUAAUCCCGGGAGGACCACCUGUGGCGAAGGCGCUCGGCUGGAACGGGUCCGACGGUGAGGGACGAAGGCCAGGGGAGCAAACCGGAUUAGAUACCCGGGUAGUCCUGGCUGUAAACGAUGCGGACUUUGUGUCGGACAAGCUAUGAGCUUGUCCGGUGCCGGAGGGAAACCGUUAAGUCCGCCGCCUGGGGAGUACGGCCGCAAGGCUGAAACUUAAAGGAAUUGGCGGG